rnacentral:rRNA from 1 species
UGUCUGGGAAACUGCCUGAUGGAGGGGGAUAACUACUGGAAACGGUAGCUAAUACCGCAUAACGUCGCAAGACCAAAGAGGGGGACCUUCGGGCCUCUUGCCAUCAGAUGUGCCCAGAUGGGAUUAGCUAGUAGGUGGGGUAAUGGCUCACCUAGGCGACGAUCCCUAGCUGGUCUGAGAGGAUGACCAGCCACACUGGAACUGAGACACGGUCCAGACUCCUACGGGAGGCAGCAGUGGGGAAUAUUGCACAAUGGGCGCAAGCCUGAUGCAGCCAAGCCGCGUGUGUGAAGAAGGCCUUCGGGUUGUAAAGCACUUUCAGCGAGGAGGAAGGUGGUGAGCUUAAUACGCUCAUCAAUUGACGUUACUCGCAGAAGAAGCACCGGCUAACUCCGUGCCAGCAGCCGCGGUAAUACGGAGGGUGCAAGCGUUAAUCGGAAUUACUGGGCGUAAAGCGCACGCAGGCGGUUUGUUAAGUCAGAUGUGAAAG